rnacentral:rRNA from 1 species
UACGAAGGGGGGCUAGCGUUGCUCGGAAUCACUGGGCGUAAAGGGUGCGUAGGCGGGUCUUUUAAGUCAGGGGUGAAAUCCUGGAGCUCAACUCCAGAACUGCCUUUGAUACUGAAGAUCUUGAGUUCGGGAGAGGUGAGUGGAACUGCGAGUGUAGAGGUGAAAUUCGUAGAUAUUCGCAAGAACACCAGUGGCGAAGGCGGCUCACUGGCCCGAUACUGACGCUGAGGCACGAAAGCGUGGGGAGCGAACGGG